GCACCACUUCCUGCUUCGAACCAAUAAUAAUCCACCUCGAACAGUGAAAAGGGGGCAAGACCAGGGGUGUAGUGGGCGUGGUACGCGGGGGUACAAAAAACAAAAAAAAAAACAAAACUGUCAUUCAAUGGCGUGAGUUUAUACGCUCUUGACAGCCAACGUCAAAUGGUGUGGUCACUGGAGAAGACACACAAACACAGGUUAACUAACAUCGGGUGUAGUGAUUCUGCCACUUACCUUCCCUGACUCUGCCCUCCGUUCACAGACCGACGCUUGACCACGCCCCCGCUGCCACAAUCACAAAAGAUGAGUAUGCAGAAAAGCACCUCAUGCCCACUGUGAAGUAUGGGGGAGGAUCGGUGAUGCUGUGGGCCUGUUUCUCUUCCAAAGGCCCCGGGAACCUUGUUAGGGUGCAUGGCAUCAUGAACUCUUUGAAAUACCAGGACAUUUUAAAUCAAAAUCUGGUGGCCUCUACCUGAAAGCUGAAGAUGGGUCGUCACUGGGUGUUUCAGCAAGAUAAUGACCCUAAACAUGUGGCCAAAUCUACACAAAAAUGGUUCACCAGACACAAAAUCAAGCUCCUCCCAUGGCCAUCUCAGUCCCCAAACCUCAACCCAAUUGAAAACCUGUGGGGUGAGCUGAAGAGGAGAGUGCAUAGGAGAGGACCCGGGACUCUGGACGAUUUAGAGAGAAUGUGCAAAGAGGAAUGGUCGAAUGUCCCUCUCUCUGUAUUCUCCCAUCUUGUGAAAUGUUAUAGGAGAAUAUUAGCUGCUGUCUUGUUGGCAAAAGGGAGUUGUACAAAGUAUUAACAUCAGGGGUGCCAAUAAUUGUGGCACACAUGAUUUCAUGUAAAAGAAUUAUUUCUUAAUGUGGGAUUUUUUCCCCCACUGAAUAAAUGCACUUGAAUUAAA